GGAGGGGUAGCGAAGUGGCUAAACGCGACGGACUGUAAAUCCGUUCCUUUGGGUUCGGCGGUUCGAAUCCGUCCCCCUCCACCA
rnacentral:tRNA from 1 species